rnacentral:rRNA from 1 species
CGUUCCCAACAAACUUUUCAAAGUGAAGCAAACGCAAUGAUGAAAGAAAAAAGUGGAAAUUUCAGGAACUAUUUCAACCUAAAACACAUUCAAGAUUGCUGCUCCUGCGCAGACCAAUAUCAUUUUAUCCUGUAACCUGCUUGCUUGUUUGUCUGCCAGAGAGUUAGUGAGUGGGAGCUUAGUCGAUAAAUUAAGAAAUUAUUUGCCUCAAAGUUUAUUUAUUUUAAUUAU